rnacentral:rRNA from 1 species
AUCGAACGCUGGCGGCAGGCCUAAUACAUGCAAGUCGAACGCAACGGCGGAAGGGGGAGUAAUGCCUAGGAAUCAGCACGGUGGUGGGCGAUAACGUAGGGGAACGGGCGCUAAUGACGCAUACGAUCAAGUCAGCCUAGGUCGGAUUAGCUAGUUGGUGCGGUAAAGGCUUACCAAGGCGACGAGCCGUAGCUGGCCUGAGAGGAUGAUCAGUCACACUGGGACUGAGACACGGUCCAGACUCCUACGGGAGGCAGCAGUGGGGAAUAUUGGGCAAUGGGCGAAAGCCUGAUCCAGCAAUGCCGCGUGUGUGAAGAAGGUCUUCGGAUUGUAAAGCACUGUUAGUAGGGAAGCGUUACCUACAGAGUAAGCACCGGCUAACUUCGUGCCAGCAGCCGCGGUAAUUC